rnacentral:rRNA from 1 species
AUGGAAAAGCAGAAAGACUUGAAAGCUCAAUACAAACUUCUUAAGGAUGCCCGCAAACAGAGCGGUGUCAGUUGGAACUAUCAUACACAAAAGAUAGAUGCUGACGCAUAUCUUUGGCAAAACUUGAUGAUUUCGUGGCCAGAAAUAGCUAAGUUCCAGAAUAAGCCCUUUCCCCUCUACGAUAAGCUUGGUGAUCUGUAUGAUGGACAUAUAGCAGAAGGUAACUUCAAUUUCACAUCAACUGAAGUUACACAAGUGAGUGAUGGUGAUCCCGAAGUUGAAAGAGAGCAGACUGCCUUCUCUUUUGACCUGAAUCAAUAUGGUGAUGAUUUACACAUGUAUAAUGAUCCAAGAGAUGCCGCCCCAAGUGAUGUAUCAAGAGAUGCCGCCCCAAGUGAUGGUUCAAGAGAUGCUGCCCCAAGUGGUGGUCCAAGAGAUGUUGCCCAAACAGGUGCUCCCGGUGGUUCAAAUAAGAAGCCAGUGAAGGAGCCCAAGAAGAAGAAGCGUGAUGACCCAAUGGUGGGUGAUGGCACAAUAUGUGGAGAUUAA